CCUACGGGAGGCAGCAGUGAGGAAUAUUGGUCAAUGGACGAGAGUCUGAACCAGCCAAGCAGCGUGAAGGAUGACUGCCUUAUGGGUUGUAAAUUUCUUUUAUAAAGGAAUAAAACGAGGCACGUGUGCCUUUUUGCAUGUACUUUAUGAAUAAGGAUAGGCUAACGCAGCGCCAGCAGCCGCGGUAAUACGGAGGGUCCGAGCGUUAUCCGGAUUUAUUGGGUUUAAAGGGAGCGUAGAUGGGUUGUUAAGUCAGUUGUGAAAGUUUGCGGCUCAACCGUAAAAUUGCAAUUGAUACUGGCAGUCUUGAGUACAGUAGAGGUAGGCGGAAUUCGUGGUGUAGCGGUGAAAUGCUUAGAGAUCACGAGGAACCCCGAUUGCGAAGGCAGCUUACUAAACUAUGACUGACGUUGAUGCUCGAAAGUGUGGGUAGCAAACAGGAUUAGAUACCCUGGUAGUC
rnacentral:rRNA from 1 species